GAAUCGGAGAAACUCCCCGUAGACUGAGGACCGCUUCUUCGCUUGUUCGCUGGACAGGAAGCGAAAAUGUCGGAACGGAAAGUUUUAAACGUAAGUGCUCAGAGUCUAAAUGUUCCUACAGAGGGUGAAGUGUGCGAGGGCUCCGGGCGAGGCGUGCUUCCUUCCGGUCAUUUCCUUUUGCAAGCCCCUCUCGCGCACACGCACGCACACGCACGCGCGUCUUCCAGUCGGGCGGGAGCUUUCCAAACUCUUGCCAAUCACAUUUUUGGGGGCGGUCGUUAGCUUCCCCCUCUCCCCGCCCCCCCCCCCCCAGCUUCGUGAGUAACCAAUCAUCACCAGGGAAGCGGAGCUUCUGUCACUUUACCCAAUUGGGGGCAGGACUGCUUCUUUGUGGGUUUUCCCCAGAUCAGAUCAGGGGAUGUUGUUGGUCACCUCAGUUCUUCCCGGCUUUUGUUGAAUUAAUAUCCGAAACCUUUUGCAGAGAUGUCUACAUCAUGUUGGGGUUUCUGGGGUGACUCAGUCUCCACUCUUGGAAAAUUUUGCUCUCCAUUUCCUGGAUCUGUUUUUUAAAUGUUUGCUUUGGGUUAAGGUUUCACUGUACACAGAAGGCCCAGAAUGGCCUCGAACUCACAGACCAAAAGUUUGUACACCUAAGAUGGGCUAUAUUCACUUUUUAAAGGAUUAGUUUUAUUUUCACUUUAUGUUUUUCCUUCAUGUCUGUCUGUGCAGCACGUUUGUGUGCACUGCCCAGGCUGACUGUAAACUCACAGUUCUGCAUCAGCCUCCUGAGUGCUGGUAUGACAGUUGUACACCAUCAUUCCCGUCUACCGCCUGAAUUAGCAAAGCUUCCUCUCUCGUGAGCCUGGUUGCCAGUAGGUGUCAAAAGCAGAGCCUCCUUGUUGGUGGUCCACAUAGCUUCUUUUUGGGGGAGAGGGGAGUUGUCUCUCUUCAGCCCCCUGUCUCAAAUUCCCGGGUGCUGGGUUUGGACAUUGGCAUGCCAGUAACCCAGAGUGGUUGUCCCUGUGCGCCUCACCCCAGCCUCCCAAGCACACAGAGAGGCCAGAGCCUGUUCUCCCCAAGGAGAUUCACUGGCCAGAUUUUGCCCUGGGAUGGUGCCCUGCAGCCUGUGUGGUACCCUAGUGCAGGUUAGGCCACCAUUGACAAGGUCUGAUUUAUGUCGGGCCUCCAUUUCCUCAUGAGUGUCUAGAAUCUUAUCAUGUGAUAGGCAGCAGGGGUCCACCCUUACUGCAAACCCUGGGCCUCUAGAACCUUCCCUAGAAGGCAUGUCACAGCGUAGGAAAGUGACCCACCACACUAUAUAAUUUGUGUUGGAAGCUUGUGCACUCCUCCCUGUCCCAACUUCUCUUCUCAUGACUGUGCUUCAAACAGCUCAUGUCUGGAAAGGCUCCAGCAAGCUGAAUCCUGAGCAGAUAGAUCCCUUAAACCAGAGUAUCCUGCGUCUGCUAACAUGGCUCUCAGACCCCAUUCCUGCCCGUAUGGGACCUGAGCACCAGAAAACAGCAACGCCCUCUUCUCCACAGAAAUACUACCCACCUGACUUUGACCCAUCGAAGAUCCCGAAACUCAAGCUACCCAAGGACCGGCAGUAUGUGGUGCGUCUGAUGGCCCCCUUCAACAUGAGGUGAAUCCCUGGGGACAUGAGGCUGGAGGCUGAUUCUCUGGAGAAACAACAAACAAAGAUAAUAGUUCCCACCCUCACAGAGUCCCCAACCCCUAUCUCAGUAGAAAAUCAGAGUGACACUUGGCCCUGCAGGAUUUUGGACCCUCUAGUGGCAGCCCUCCUCCUGCCCAGGGCCUUUGCACCACCUAUGGCAUCUGCCUGCAGAUCUCUUGUAGCCAGCUUCUCUGACAGAGCCUGUCUCCCAUCUCAUCCCAGGCAGGCUGCCAGCCUCCUCUUAGACCUUCACCCCCACUUUCCUGGGUUCAACCAGCUUUGAACCAGACAGUUAUUCACACUUGACUGUGUGUGAGAAUCACAAUCCUGUAAGUCACACCUGUACAGUCACUGAGGAUGGAGAAGCUGUCCGUGUGACUAAUUGAUUAUAUCUUGUCUUCAUUUCUUUGUUUGCUCCUGUCUUAGACACUGUGAACAUGGGAGCUCUUAGAAGAGAAAGCAUCUAAUUGGAGUUUGCUUACAGUUUCAGAGGGUUAGUCCAUUGUCACCAUGGUGGGGAACAUGGCAGUCAUGGUGCUUGAGAAGUAGUUGGAGACUACAUCCUGAUCUGCAGGCAGAAAGAGAGAAACACCAGAUGUGCUGUGGGUUUCUGAAACCUCAUAACUCACCCCUAGUGACACUUCUCCAGCAAGGCCACACCUCCUAAUCAUCUUCCUCCUCCCGACCCCCCAAGACUCCUCGGUGACUAAGCAUUCAAAUCUAUGACUCUUAGGGACCAUUCUCAUCCACACCACCGCACUCCUCUGCAGGCAGUUGUCAGGCACGUAUCAUUGAUGGGGCGAGGGGAGCCUCCUGACCCUCAGAGGCUGGUGGGGAGUGGGAGUCAUACCCAUCCUCUGUAGUAACACAAGGACACAUGAGGCAGGCAGGGCAGGUGGUCUGCCAGCCGGACAGUCAGGGAAGUGUUAGAAUCUCAGGCUGCCAGGACAGCAGAGAAAAGGCCCUGAGGUAGGACUAAGCCAGAGGUGUUUGUAGGUACAGCAGUAAACCAGGACAGGAAGUGGGGGGAGCAGCCAGGGUCAGGAUUCUGCUGUCCCCUUGGCAGUUCUCAGAAGCUCCAUACACCCAGUCCCUCCUACCUAUAAGGUACAUAUGCUGCCACUGGGUGCUAGAGCAGAGGACAGACACUCACGCGCCUGCCCCGGCUGCAGGUGUAAGACGUGUGGAGAAUACAUCUACAAGGGGAAGAAGUUCAAUGCACGAAAGGAAACAGUCCAGAACGAGGCUUACCUGGGCCUGCCAAUCUUCCGAUUCUACAUCAAGUGCACGCGCUGCUUGGCCGAGAUCACCUUCAAGGUAGGGGCUUCAUUCAUUCGCUUUCCCUCUGUGAACACUCCACAAAAGGGCAGAGUGUUGGGAAGGUGCUUGCAGCAGAACCACACACAGAAAAGCCUGCCCACCUGCAUGUGUGCAAGGUAUGGGAUAUGUUGCGGGGUCAGGAAAAAAUCAUGUUGUUCUGGGCCUUGCUUGUUGCUUUGCUUCGACAGUGUCCUGUAGCACAGGCUGGACUCAAACUCCGAUGUACUCGGGUGACUGUGAUCCUGAUCCUCCGGCCUCCACCUCUGGGCUGCUAGGACGGCAGCCUUAUGCCACCACAUCUGGAUAAAAGUCAUGAUUUUCUUCUGUUCUUUCGUGUUUCUUGGGAUGGAGGUCAGAGCUUCACAUUCUCUAGGCAAAUGUUCUUCCUGAGCCACUGCGCAAGCACAAAAGCCUGAGGACUUGGGGAAAGCUAGGAGAGGAAAAGCACUCUUCCUGUCGGCACCACUGGAGGCUGUGGGGUUUUGGGUUGGUUUAGAUUGGGUUGGGUUUUUUUGGUUGGUUGGUUUAUUUGGUUGUUAUUUUUUCACUAUAAGCUUUAACC
rnacentral:lncRNA from 1 species